rnacentral:rRNA from 1 species
CGCCUACGGGGGGCAGCAGUCGGGAAUAUUGCGCAAUGGAGGAAACUCUGACGCAGUGACGCCGCGUAUAGGACGAAGGUCUUCGGAUUGUAAACUAUUGUCGUUAGGGAAGAGAAAGGACAGUACCUAAGGAGGAAGCUCCGGCUAACUACGUGCCAGCAGCCGCGGUAAUACGUAGGGAGCAAGCGUUAUCCGGAUUUAUUGGGUGUAAAGGGUGCGUAGACGGGAAGACAAGUCAGAUGUGAAAUCCCGCGGCUCGACCGCGGAACUGCAUUUGAAACUGUUUUUCUUGAGUACCGGAGAGG